rnacentral:lncRNA from 1 species
UUAUUAUCUGUGUCAGGGUAACAUCUAAGAAAUUUGAUUCUUGUACUUACCUGGCAGGAGAUGGAGAUAGCUAACUAGACACAGAGGAGCAAGGUGAUAUGAAGAUAGCUGUGACUGAUAUGAUAAGGAGUGGUCAACAGCUGUCUGAUAACUGCAUGGUUCACGACAAGGGUCAUGAGAGCAGCAAGAAUGAGGCACCACCAGAAGCUGCAAGACAUCCUGCCUUACUCUCUGGGCCAUCUCUGCAGACUACAGCAACAGUCUAAGCUGACAAAAUUUAACUUGGGUAUUUCUUUGGAAUACCUAAUGUGGGUUUGUGGAAGUGCUGUAUUCAUUCUUCAGUAGUGUCACUGCCAAUGCAGGUACUUAAAUAUGCCAUCAGUGCCUUUCUUUUACAUUGACCUAGACUAGAUGUUACACUUCCGAGAUGCUAAUGAUUAUAAUGAUUAAUAUUGUGUAGUGCCUGACAAAAAAAUGUUAAUUUGCAGGUAGGGAUUGCUGGUAAUUAGAAUAAUGCUGGGAAUAUUUUACCUCUUGCAGUCUUCAAUUGAAAAGCCUUGUAUGGAAGGCAAGGCAUGUUACGCUUCUGGCAGACAAAUCAUCCUGGAAAUAGACUUGAUAUGUUAAAAUAGCCUUGCUUGAAUGAGGUUUAUUCAACAAGCCUGGGGGCUGGAAAUAGCUCGGAGAAUAUAUGGCUAAGUAUGGGCUGCCAUAUAUUCUGUGCUUUAGAGACUGAUUUCUCCUCAGGAGUCACAGCAUGUGUGCUCUCCAAAAAUCCAGCUAUACACUCAGCUGCUCUAAAUCAGGCAACUGCCCUGGGGUUCAGUUUGAUUGUGUAUUCAGGCAGUGCAAAGGGAAUGGGCAGAUAGGAAUGUUGGACCCCAUCUUUCAUUAAAAUCCCAACCACGUUUUCCUACAAGUUUCUCUACCAAAGAGGCUGCCCGGUGCCCCUGCUUUGUAUAAACAGGCUGGUGAAACCCCAAGGAGCAGAGAGAUAUAUUUGGGGCCCAAAUUUGGAGUUGAUGUACAGCAGAGCCGUCAGAAAGGGUGUAAAUCAAAGACAAAAUCCCCACUUAACCCUGACAAGGAGGUCUAACGAGUGAGUGCCCAGCCCUGGCUCAACUUGCAUGCGUUGCUUCCCCGUGGAGCUCCACAAGGCCCCCUGCACCCUUACUCUCUCCUCUGCAGAAUGCCU